rnacentral:rRNA from 1 species
AUGAUGCUGAAAACUGGGCAUGUUAUUCAGUCUGGUCCGGAUCAUAUCCAAUGGAAGAUUGCAUGGUUGUUUAACUUGAAAAACUCGGAUGUUGUCAACCAGUCCGAGCAAAAAGCUCUUGCCGCAACAUACCCUGAGUUGUAUUUUCCGUGGCACCGGGGUGAUGUCCUAGUACCACAUAUCCUCUUGGUGGAGUUCAGUUGCCUAAAUUGCAAAAGGCUCAUGUUGGAAGCUGCUACACAAUAUGAUUUUGAAUGUGUUGCUUGGGAAUUUACAUGGUCACUUUACUUAGUGUGUUGUGCUGGCACGCCAAAAACUUGCCAUUUUAGUUCUUUGUUUCUAUUGCCAUGA